rnacentral:lncRNA from 1 species
UUUGGGUCCGAUUUUAAACUGGUUGUGCGGCAGGGUUCCAAGAUGCAUUUCGUAUUCUUGGAGUUAGUUCAUGUUGAGUGGCUGGCCGGAGUUAUUCAAGUGGCUGCCGGAAAGAAGUGGGUCAUCCCGAUUGACUGUGAACUGAAAACUUUGAAACGCACGAUUUCAAUCACUAGGUUCCACUUGCAGGGGAGACCUGUCCUGAAAAUCUAUGAAAGAUGUGGGAAUGGUAAAAUAUUUUUUGUGAUCAUACCUUGUGAGAAGAACUCCAAUGGGUGGAAUGCGUUUUUGAGGAUGUUGCGGGAUCGAGGCCGUUUGCCUCCGGCGCCUCCAGUAGCCAGGUUAGGAAGCCGAUCUUUCGCAGAGGUGGUGUCCUGCAAAACUAUGCCACUAGCAGGGCGUUGUAAUAGGUGUGAAAUUGGGGACGCAAUGGGGGUGAAAGUGUCGGAGGAUGGAGUGAAAGAAAGACUCAAACAUUUGGAACGUUGCCUGGUGGUUCGAUUCGAGACUGUGAAGAGUAUUGACUGGGAAGCUUUCAGGAGUUGGGCUAGUAAGAAUUGGGGGAUCAAUCGAGAGGUUUUAAUUCAGAGUGUGGGGGAUGGUUUAUGGAUGGUGACCUGCAAUGGGAAGGAAGAAGUUGAAAGGAUCUUGGCGCUUAAGCGGUGGAGGUUUGGUGAUAUACCCUUAAAGUUUGAUGGAUGGAUAAAGGAGGCCGGAAGAUCCGGAGUGUUGUUGGAGUCGGAUGUGGUGUGGGUAUUGAUUCGCGGUAUUCCUUUACACUUACGCUCGCCGGACCUCGUGAGAUCCCUAGGCGAUGUCUGUGGAGGUUUUUUGGAGUCCGAAGAAGUGAGGGAUCUAACUUCGGUGAGAAUCAAGGUGCAGCUAAAAGGAACAUUACCUGAUUCAAUCCCAAUCUGCUAUGGUGAAGAAAUAUAUCCUGUUAAAUUGGAUUUUGUCUCAGCUCCGAUUCCGGUAAGCUUCGGGGGAAAGUCGUCUCGACAAAGAAA